GACGAACGCUGGCGGCGUGCCUAAUACAUGCAAGUAGAACGCUGAGGGAGGAGCUUGCUUCUCUGGAUGAGUUGCGAACGGGUGAGUAACGCGUAGGUAACCUGCCUGGUAGCGGGGGAUAACUAUUGGAAACGAUAGCUAAUACCGCAUAACAGUAGAUGUUGCAUGACAUUUGCUUAAAAGGUGCAAUUGCAUCACUACCAGAUGGACCUGCGUUGUAUUAGCUAGUUGGUGGGGUAACGGCUCACCAAGGCGACGAUACAUAGCCGACCUGAGAGGGUGAUCGGCCACACUGGGACUGAGACACGGCCCAGACUCCUACGGGAGGCAGCAGUAGGGAAUCUUCGGCAAUGGACGGAAGUCUGACCGAGCAACGCCGCGUGAGUGAAGAAGGUUUUCGGAUCGUAAAGCUCUGUUGUAAGAG
rnacentral:rRNA from 1 species